CCUACGGGUGGCAGCAGUGGGGAAUAUUGCACAAUGGGGGAAACCCUGAUGCAGCGACGCCGCGUGAGCGAAGAAGGUUCUCGGAUUGUAAAGCUCUAUCAUCGGUGAAGAUAAUGACGGUAACCAAGUAGGAAGCCCCGGCUAACUACGUGCCAGCAGCCGCGGUAAUACGUAGGGAGCAAGCGUUGUCCGGAUUUACUGGGUGUAAAGGGUGCGCAGGCGGUCUGGCAAGUCUGAUGUGAAAACCACGGGCGCAACCCGGGGACUGCGUUGGAAACUGUGGUGCUGGAGUGUAGUAGCGGCAAGUGGAAUUCCGAGUGUAGCGGUGAAAUGCGUAGAGAUUGGGAGGAACACCAGUGGCGAAGGCGGCUUGCUGGGCUAUAACUGACGCUGAGGCUCGAAAGCAUGGGGAGCAAACAGGAUUAGAUACCCCUGUAGUC
rnacentral:rRNA from 1 species